rnacentral:rRNA from 1 species
GAAAUUCUCAAGCCGUGGAUGCUUUUUGUAAAGUGUUCUCAGCUUGGUUAUUGGGCUUUGCCGUGUCCUUUUGGGAUGGCUGGCCUUAAAAGCAUUAGCUGAUCCUCAUGAUGGCAUUGGUUCUACUCAGCGUGAUAAUAAACUGACCGCUGAGGACAUCUUUCGGGGUGGCCAAUUCUCGUUUGGGUUGCUCUCUAAUCUGGUUUAUGGGUUGCUAAUAACAAUCCGUUCCAUUUUCAGUUUGACCUCGAAUCAGGUGGGACUACCCGCUGAACUUAAGCAUAUCAAUAAGCGGAGGAAAAGAAACUAACAAGGAUUCCCCUAGUAACGGCGAGUGAAGCGGGAAAAGCUCAAAUUUAAAAUCUGGCAGUCUUCGAUUGUCCGAGUUGUAAUCUAGAGAAGUGUUUUCCGUGCUGGACUGUGUACAAGUUUCCUGGAUACGGAACAUCAUAGAGGGUGAGAAUCCCGUCCUUGACACAGACUCCCAGUGCUUUGUGAUGCGCUCUCGACGAGUCGAGUUGUUUGGGAUUGCAGCUCAAAAUGGGAGGUAAAUUCCUUCUAAAGCUAAAUAUUGGCGAGAGACCGAUAGCGAACAAGUACCGUGAGGGAAAGAUGAAAAGCACUUUGGAAAGAGAGUUAAACAGUACGUGAAAUUGUUAAAAGGGAAACGCUUGAAGUCAGUCACGUUUGCUUGGACUCAGCCUCACUUCGGUUUGGUGCAUUUCCUUGCAGACGGGCCAACGUCCAUGCUGUUCGUCGGAGAAGGGGUGAAAGAGUGUGGCUCCUCCGGGAGUGUUAUAGCUUUCAUUCGUAUACGGGGAACAAUAUGGAGUGGUACAGCAUGCUUCGGUGGUGCUUGUGUUGGCAUAAUGGCUUUAAACGACCCGUCUUGAAACACGGACC